UAAUAGUGUAUAUUAAAGUUGUUGCAGUUAAAAAGCUCGGAGUUGAAUGUUGGUGUCGAACGAGCGGUCAGCUUCGGCUGUACUGCUCUCUCGACUCCUUCCUUCUGUGGACUACGUCGCACUUUACUGUGUGGCGCUAGGACGCAGAUCGUUUACUGUGAAAAAAUUAGAGUGUUCAAAGCAGGCCGUACGCUUGAAUACAUUAGCAUGGAAUAAUGGAAUAGGACGUCGGGCCUAUUUUGUUGGUUCUAGGACCGUCGUAAUGAUUAAUAGGGACAGUUGGGGCCGUUUAUAUUCCGUAGUCAGAGGUGAAAUUCUUGGAUUUACGGAAGAUAAACUACUGCGAAAGCAUUCGGCAAGGAUGUUUUCGUUAA
rnacentral:rRNA from 1 species